rnacentral:rRNA from 1 species
UACAGAGGGUGCAAGCGUUAAUCGGAAUUACUGGGCGUAAAGCGUGCGUAGACGGUUACAUAAGUCGGGUGUGAAAGCCCCGGGCUCAACCUGGGAAUUGCAUUCGAGACUGCGUAGCUAGGGUGCGGAAGAGGGAAGCGGAAUUUCCGGUGUAGCGGUGAAAUGCGCAGAUAUCAGGAGGAACACCGGCGGCGAAGGCGGCACUCUGGGCCGGUACUGACGCUGAGGAGCGAAAGCGUGGGUAGCAAACAGG